rnacentral:rRNA from 1 species
CGUAGGGUGCAAGCGUUGUCCGGAAUUAUUGGGCGUAAAGAGCUCGUAGGCGGUUCGUCGCGUCGGCUGUGAAAACCUGAGGCUCAACCUCAGGCCUGCAGUCGAUACGGGCGGACUUGAGUACUGCAGGGGAGACUGGAAUUCCUGGUGUAGCGGUGAAAUGCGCAGAUAUCAGGAGGAACACCGGUGGCGAAGGCGGCGAUCUGGGUCGAUACUGACGCUGAGGUGCGAAAGCGUGGGGAGCAAACAGG